rnacentral:rRNA from 1 species
AUUGAACGCUGGCGGCAUGCUUUACACAUGCAAGUCGAACGGUAACAGGGUGCUUGCACCGCUGACGAGUGGCGAACGGGUGAGUAAUGCGUCGGAACGUGCCGAGUAGUGGGGGAUAACGCAGCGAAAGCUGCGCUAAUACCGCAUACGAUCUGUGGAUGAAAGCGGGGGACCGAAAGGCCUCGCGCGAUUGGAGCGGCCGAUGUCAGAUUAGGUAGUUGGUGGGGUAAAGGCCCACCAAGCCAACGAUCUGUAGCUGGUCUGAGAGGACGACCAGCCAAACUGGGACUGAGACACGGCCCAGACUCCUACGGGAGGCAGCAGUGGGGAAUUUUGGACAAUGGGCGCAAGCCUGAUCCAGCAAUGCCGCGUGCAGGAAGAAGGCCUUCGGGUUGUAAACUGCUUUUGUACGGAACGAAACGGCUCUGGUUAAUACCUGGGGCUAAUGACGGUACCGUAAGGAUAAGCACCGGCUAACUACGUGCCAGCAGCCGCCGUAAAAC